GGAUCAAUGCUUUUAAUAAAUGAUAUUAUAACAUCUUGUGAUUUCCGUCUGGUGGUAUUGCAUCUGUAUUUUGGACAGUUACUACAAUUUGUCCAUUUUUCCAGCUAUUAUCACCAACUUGAGCCCUGCCGUACCAAUAAUAUAUGAAAAGACUAAUGAAAUUAAUUGUUGGUGAUAAUGCAAGAAAGGUCAGUAUUUUGAAAUGAUAAAUUAUGCAAUGUGUUAUUGGGAAAAUCCCACGAAAAUUAACAGAUGUAUCAAUAUAAACAUAUAAAGUGUUAAUUCCAACACGAAAAUGAUAUACAGGUUUUUUAUGACAAAUAUAACAAAAUUCUAGGCAUAAGAACAAACAAUGACACUAUGAUAGGUAAACUUUAUAAUCAACACAUCCUAAUAAAUUUUGAAAGAUUAAAGAAGACGCAACCAUCUA